GGUUACCAUACACUGCUUUCAAAUGUUGCACAUACAUACUACACCACAAGACACCAGCAUAUUAGUUUCAAGCUAAAUAUAAUUAUUCGAUAAGCUACUAAUCAUAUAUAUAUAUAUAAUGUCUACUACUUACUCAAGAUAUGGUUUUACUUCAUCACAAUUUUAUAGAAUAUGUAAUUGGACAACAUGUAUUUCUCUAUCAUCUAGCCAUCGAUCUUUACGCUUGCCAGCAGUACGGCC
rnacentral:lncRNA from 1 species